rnacentral:piRNA from 1 species
UUGUUGUAGACGUCAGGGGCA